rfam:Gossypium raimondii Chr13_contig_790, whole genome shotgun sequence.
UGUUAAAAAAAUCAUCUAUUUGUACUGUUAAAAAUUGGUGUGAUUGACAGAAUAACUAAACAGUUACACGUGGCAUGCCACAUAUGCCUCAUGCUAAUAUACAUGGACUAGUUUAUAACAGUAAAAAUGGAAGAAAUUUUUAACA